rnacentral:misc_RNA from 1 species
AAGUCGUAACAAGGUUUCCGUAGGUGAACCUGCGGAAGGAUCAUUACAGAAUAUCCUCUGUCAAGGGGCCUUCAGUGCCCAAAUAAAUAAACAAACACUAUGAACCUACUUGUAGCAAGCAAGGUGGGGACCAAUAGUCCGCCACGAAGGAAAUCCUCCUAUUCAUUUUCUUUUUUUCUAUUGUAUAGGAUGGAUGGGGUUUGGAGGGGUGUGGCACGCCGGUCACUGACCGGAUCACCCGCCCCCCACGCCAUUGGUCUCCACGCUGCUACGUCCCUUCUAUUUGACACAUCUGUCGCAUGUUGGUGGCCCCAAAUAUAGAUAUAAAAUAUAACUUUCAACAACGGAUCUCUUGGCUCUC